GAGAGAAAUUUUAAAGCUGGGUGUCCAGGGGAGACAUCAUAUGUUGGCAGGUUCUGUGAUGCCCCACAAGCUGCAAAACCAGCAAGUUUCUAUUAGUGAUUUUCAAAAGGGGAGGGAGUGUACGAAUAGGGUGUGGGUCACAGGGAUCACAUGCUUCACAAGGUAAUAAGAUAUCACAAGGCAAAUGGAGGCAGGGCGAGAUCACAGGACCACAGGACCAAGGCAAAAUUGAAAUUGCUAAUGAAGUUUCUGCACGCAUUGUCCGGGAGACUGGGGCUUAUUUCAUCCCUACAGCUGCAACCGUAAAAGACGGCCACCCCUGAAGUGGCCAUUUCAGAGGGCUACCCUCAGGGAUGCAUUCUCUUUCUCAGGGAUAUUCUUUCCUGAGAAAAAGAAUUCAGCGAUAUUUCUCCCAUUUGCUUUUGAAAGAAGAGAAAUAAGGCUCUGUUUCACCCAGCUCACCAGCGGUCAGAGUUUAAGGUUAUCUCCCUUGUUCCCUGAACAUUGCUAUUAUCCUGUUCUUUU
rnacentral:lncRNA from 1 species